rnacentral:rRNA from 1 species
UGUAACGGCCAUACUACGUUGGUGCACCAGUUCCCGUUCGAUCACUGAAGUUAAGCAACGUCAGGCGCGGUUAGUACUUGGAUGGGUGACCGCUUGGGAACCCCGCGUGCCGUUAUUU